rnacentral:tRNA from 1 species
GCCCUUGAAGACGAAUGGAUAGUCAACGCUUUUACACGGCGUGCAAAGCAGGUUCGAUUCCUGUCAGGGGUAC